AGUUUCUGCACCUGAGGCAAGUGCCUCACUCCCCUCGCCCUCGCCCGGGCACUGCCCUGAGGUGAAGUAGGGUGAAGAGCUGGCAGAGCUUUCUGAGCAACUUGUAUUGUGGGGAUGUUCCCCCCCCCCCUUGAACUAGGCAUUAGAGGAAGGAAAGAAAGGCGUAAGGAAAGGAACAGGCGCAGCUUCUCGCCUGUCUAGCCAAGACCAGCGGGCUUUGUAGGCACCAUGCCAGGCAGCUGAUCUCUAGGCAAGAGUCCCACUGAGCAUGAAAUGGUGGUGCAAAAAAUGGGGAAACUACUGAAUCAUCAAAGACGAAUUGUAGAACGCAAUCGUCACUCCUUAGAAUAGAAAAUAAAAGAGAAGGAAAAGGAAAUGGAGGAAAAAAACCUUCUUCGCUGCCAGUCUGAUCAAAAAUCUCAAGAAAUCCAUCAGCUGCAAGAAGAACUGAAAACAGCUAAACAGUUUCUGAAGGAGACCCAGAAUUAUGCGGAAGAGAUGAAAACCUGGAAGCCUCUUUCAACCAGGGAAUGGGACCCAAAAUUUAGGUCACAAUGGAGUGGGAAUUGUGCCUGUCUGUUUAUCAGGUACCCAGCCGCCCCGGAGGAGGAAGAGGCUGGACUGGGGGGAGCUAAAGAGCUCUGAGCCUACCCCGCAAAGGGUCAAGCGCCGACCCGGAAGUAUAAAGGCGGGCCUUCCGAGCUCAGUGGGAGGUCAGCGACCAGAGCGAGCGGACGUCCUUCCGGGAGCUUGGCGCCAGGAGGCUUCUACCCUCCCCCGUGCUCGCUACCCCGAGGAGCUGCCGGAGCUCCCCUGGACCGCCGUUCCGGAGGAGUUGCCGGACCUGCCACCCAGCCCCGUCCGAGACGAACCCAUGCACCUGGACCCGGUGGAGGAUGACCCCAGGAUCCAGGUGCUGAUGAGGUUGCCAUCUACGUACAUUCACUGACCCAGGACAAUGAGCCAGACGGACUCCCAGAGGUGGUCAAAAAAGGUAGAUGAUACUCAACAGUGCCAAGCAGAAACAGCUAUUGAACCCAUGGAAUCUAGUUCAAGAUCUCCUCUUUUCAUAAAUAAUCAACUCACAAAAGCUGUUGCUGAGAACUCUGUGUGUGUUGAGAUUCUCCCCAAAGGCAGAUGUUCCUUGAGCACACAAACUACCUGGUCAAAAUGAACAAGACAAACCGUAUGAUACAGUAAACCUAGUAGUAUAUGGGCCGUACCAUGAAUCAAACCCUAACCCUGCCUCUUGACCCCUUACACUCCUCCCACCUGUCUCCAGAAGUCCCGCUCCAGGGGGUAUUACUUCUGGGGUACAGAUGACCGGAAGCAAGGUGUGUGUCACGUGACCCCUCUAAGGACUGCUCCCAGUGCCCAGUACCAAUGAGGUUGGGUUUUCCCCUGAUAGUACUGCCCUGAGAGGAAAUUUGACCAGUCAGGGUGAGUUCCAGGGCGGAGUGACCUGUCAGGAAGUGGGUCGUGUGACCCCUCUAAGAACUCCUCCCAAUGCCCUCUGCCAAUCAGAGAGCAGCACCAUU